CUAAAAAUGCCAGUCGAACGCGUUGGCCCAAUUGAUUGAUGGUGCUUGCACCUGAUUGAUUUUGGUCGCCAACGAGUGGCGGACGGGUGAGUAACACGUAGGUAACCUGCCCAGAAGCGGGGGACAACAUUUGGAAACAGAUGCUAAUACCGCAUAACAGCGUUGUUCGCAUGAACAACGCUUAAAAGAUGGCUUCUCGCUAUCACUUCUGGAUGGACCUGCGGUGCAUUAGCUUGUUGGUGGGGUAACGGCCUACCAAGGCGAUGAUGCAUAGCCGAGUUGAGAGACUGAUCGGCCACAAUGGGACUGAGACACGGCCCAUACUCCUACGGGAGGCAGCAGUAGGGAAUCUUCCACAAUGGGCGCAAGCCUGAUGGAGCAACACCGCGUGAGUGAAGAAGGGUUUCGGCUCGUAAAGCUCUGUUGUUAAAGAAGAACACGUAUGAGAGUAACUGUUCAUACGUUGACGGUAUUUAACCAGAAAGUCACGGCUAACUACGUGCCAGCAGCCGCGGUAAUACGUAGGUGGCAAGCGUUAUCCGGAUUUUUUUGGGCGUAAAGAGAGUGCAGGCGGUUUUCUAAGUCUGAUGUGAAAGCCUUCGGCUUAACCGGAGAAGUGCAUCGGAAACUGGAUAACUUGAGUGCAGAAGAGGGUAGUGGAACUCCAUGUGUUAGCCGGUGGAAUGCGUAGAUAUAUGGGAAGAACACCCAGUGGCGAAGGGCGGCUACCUGGGUCUGCAACUGAACGCCUGAAGAACUCGAAAGGAUUAGAUACCCUGGUAGUCCAUGCCGUAAACGAUGAGUGCUAGGUGUUGGAGGGUUUCCGCCCUUUCAGUGCCCGGAGCUAACGCAUUAAGCACUCCGCCUGGGGAGUACGACCGCAAGGUUGAAACUCAAAGGAAUUGACGGGGGCCCGCACAAGCGGUGGAGCAUGUGGUUUAAUUCGAAGCUACGCGAAGAACCUUACCAGGUCUUGACAUCUUGCGCCAACCCUAGAGAUAGGGCGUUUCCUUCGGGAACGCAAUGACAGGUGGUGCAUGGUCGUCGUCAGCUCGUGUCGUGAGAUGUUGGGUUAAGUCCCGCAACGAGCGCAACCCUUGUUACUAGUUGCCAGCAUUAAGUUGGGCACUCUAGUGAGACUGCCGGUGACAAACCGGAGGAAGGUGGGGACGACGUCAGAUCAUCAUGCCCCUUAUGACCUGGGCUACACACGUGCUACAAUGGACGGUACAACGAGUCGCGAACUCGCGAGGGCAAGCAAAUCUCUUAAAACCGUUCUCAGUUCGGACUGCAGGCUGCAACUCGCCUGCACGAAGUCGGAAUCGCUAGUAAUCGCGGAUCAGCAUGCCGCGGUGAAUACGUUCCCGGGCCUUGUACACACCGCCCGUCACACCAUGAGAGUUUGUAACACCCAAAGUCGGUGGGGUAACUUUUAGAGCC
rnacentral:rRNA from 1 species